rnacentral:rRNA from 1 species
UGCCGCGUGUGUGAAGAAGGCCUUCGGGUUGUAAAGCACUUUCAGUAGGGAGGAAAGGGUGUAGUUUAAUACGCUAUAUCUGUGACGUUACCUACAGAAGAAGGACCGGCUAACUCCGUGCCAGCAGCCGCGGUAAUACGGAGGGUCCGAGCGUUAAUCGGAAUUACUGGGCGUAAAGCGUGCGCAGGCGGUUUGUUAAGCGAGAUGUGAAAGCCCUGGGCUCAACCUAGGAAUAGCAUUUCGAACUGGCGAACUAGAGUCUUGUAGAGGGGGGUAGAAUUCCAGGUGUAGCGGUGAAAUGCGUAGAGAUCUGGAGGAAUACCGGUGGCGAAGGCGGCCCCCUGGACAAAGACUGACGCUCAUGCACGAAAGCGUGGGGAGCAAACAGGAUUAGAUACCCUGGUAGUCCACGCCGUAAACGAUGUCUACUCGGAGUUUGGUGUCUUGAACACUGGGCUCUCAAGCUAACGCAUUAAGUAGACCGCCUGGGGAGUACGGCCGCAAGGUUAAAACUCAAAUGAAUUGACGGGGGCCCGCACAAGCGGUGGAGCAUGUGGUUUAAUUCGAUGCAACGCGAAGAACCUUACCUACUCUUGACAUCCACAGAACUUUCCAGAGAUG